UGUGUGUCAGUGAGAGAAAGUGUGUGUUCUUCCUGCUUUCCAUCCCUCAUUUGUACAUAUAUUCCUUCCUUCCUGCUUUACCUCUGUAUGCUCUGUAGAAGGAGAAAGAGCGAGUGUGUUGUUUAUCUGCAUGUUUGUGUGAGUGUGUGUGUGUGUGUGUGUGUGUGCACGCUCUUCUAUCUUUUUGAAGACCGGUUUGAGUUUCAGAUCAUGAGUUUGAAGACAUUUUUAGGUUAAGGGUUGAGGUUGUUAUUAUCAUGUCAUUAAUGUCUUCACCAGUUAAAUAGAGAUAAAAUGUGUGUGUGUUUGUGUGUGUGUGUGUGUGUGUUUGCAUGGACUCUACAGUACUGUGUCCAAAAGAAAUAAGUGGGACUGACUAGUGUGGUGAUCUGUUCAGUGACUUGAUAACAGUCAGUUCAUGCAGUAUUCAGUCCAGGCAUGUGCUGCUAUUAAACUUUAAGGCCAAAGCACUUUCCUCUAAAACCCAGGACCCCCUGGGGGGUUGUAGCGCUCAGCUGCUACCAGUGACCACAAUCCACACGUACAACUGCAGGAUCACUCAGACGUUCCCUUGAGGCCGGCGUUGGUUACGGGCUUCUCCACUUGAUGGAUCAUUGGUCUAAACAUGCCACAGAUGGAUGGAUUGUUGGUGGGACGAGAUGAUGAUCUGACAAACAGCUCAGCCAACAGCAGCAGGUGGAGAAGACAAGAGGCGGAGUCUGAAAAGACAAAA